rnacentral:rRNA from 1 species
GUGAGGAAUAUUGCGCAAUGGAGGCAACUCUGACGCAGCCAUGCCGCGUGCAGGAAGAAGGCGCUACGCGUUGUAAACUGCUUUUAACCGGGAAGAAACCCCAGGACGUGUCCUGGGUUGACGGUACCGGAGGAAUAAGCACCGGCUAACUUCGUGCCAGCAGCCGCGGUAAUACGAAGGGUGCAAGCGUUAUCCGGAUUCAUUGGGUUUAAAGGGUGCGUAGGCGGAGCGUUAAGUCAGUGGUGAAAUCCUGCAGCUUAACUGUAGACUUGCCAUUGAUACUGGCGCUCUUGAGUGCGCUUAAAGUGGGCGGAAUGUGCCGUGUAGCGGUGAAAUGCUUAGAUAUGGCACAGAACACCAAUUGCGAAGGCAGCUCACUAAGGCGAUACUGACGCUGAGGCACGAAAGCGUGGGGAUCGAACAGGAUUAGAUACCCUUGUAGUCC